UACAGAGGGCUCAAGCGUUGUUCGGAAUCACUGGGCGUAAAGGGUGCGUAGGUGGCGUGGCAAGUCAGAUGUGAAAGCCCAGGGCUCAACCCUGGAAUUGCAUCCGAUACUGCCAUGCUGGAGUACUGAAGAGGUGACUAGAAUUCUCGGUGUAGCAGUGAAAUGCGUAGAUAUCGAGAGGAAUACCAAAGGCGAAGGCAGGUCACUGGGCAGUUACUGACACUGAGGCACGAAGGCCAGGGGAGCAAACGGG
rnacentral:rRNA from 1 species